rnacentral:lncRNA from 1 species
CUCAGUCUUUUUGGUGAAACAAACAGAAAAUGCACCGAUUGGUUGCUUGAGAAGCAAUAGGAAGCACUUCCUUGCUACUUAUUUGGUAAAAUAAUGAACAGUUACAUUCUUCUUCAUCAUCAGUCACAUGUUCUCAAAAACACCUAGGAUUGUUCUGCUGUAGCCUGAUCCUUGGCAGUCAGAACAAGCUCUGUAAGGGCUGAAAAGCUUUUUAUGUUGUUUGUUUCCAGUCCCAUCUUUCGUAUUUGCUCUCCAAAAUACUCGACGUCUAGAGCCAGCUGCAGUCGGAUUUUAUCAUCA